CCUACGGGAGGCAGCAGUGGGGAAUAUUGGACAAUGGGGGCAACCCUGAUCCAGCCAUGCCGCGUGUGUGAAGAAGGCCCUCGGGUUGUAAAGCACUUUCAGUGAGGAAGAACGCCUGGUGGUUAAUACCCAUCAGGAAAGACAUCACUCACAGAAGAAGCACCGGCUAACUCCGUGCCAGCAGCCGCGGUAAUACGGAGGGUGCGAGCGUUAAUCGGAAUUACUGGGCGUAAAGCGCGCGUAGGUGGCUUGAUAAGCCGGUUGUGAAAGCCCCGGGCUCAACCUGGGAACGGCAUCCGGAGCUGUCAAGCUAGAGUGCAGGAGAGGAAGGUAGAAUUCCCGGUGUAGCGGUGAAGUGCGUAGAGAUCGGGAGGAAUACCAGUGGCGAAGGCGGCCUUCUGGACUGACACUGACACUGAGGUGCGAAAGCGUGGGUAGCAAACAGGAUUAGAUACACCUGUAGUC
rnacentral:rRNA from 1 species